rnacentral:lncRNA from 1 species
AUUAUAUGCACGCAGCAGAAGAGGAAAGAAGUACCGCUGACAGGAAGACCUAGGGUCUUUUUUAGCCAGAGGUCUCUAUAGACAUGCCAUCAAUAGUAAUGGCAACCGCAGUGUAUCAUCGUGACGAUGUGCUUAAUCAGGGCUCAGGUGUUGAGGAUGUAGACUUGGGAGAGCCCCUUGUUGGUGUGCUUAAGGCAUCCUGGUUUCAGUCAGGUCAGGUCCCCUCACCUAAUACUGGCCUGAGGCCCAAGACCAAGAUACAAGGACUGAGGCUGGUAAGUGAUUUGAAGCAGUGCCUGAUAUUCAUGCAAGAAGCUAGAAAUGUCAGUUGCUGCUUGAGGUAAACAUUUGUUUUCCAGAGUAAAUGUUACAGCUUCUGCUUCUCAUAACAGUGUCAUUCAAGCAUGUGUCUAAAGGACAGCAAGACAUCAUGGAAAUAGCUUUCAUUCUUAAUCCAUAUUUGUGUUAAACUAUAGAAUCAUUUAAUCCACCAGCUCAUUGUGAUCAUCAAAACAGAGAAGCUGCAAAAUAUUUCCUUCAUUAUAAAAAUAAAACCAAGUGCUGCUCUCUGCUUCAGAUUCCUUUUGAAUACUAAUGCAUAAAAGCCAAGAUUAAAUUAAUCUCAGCUGUCUCAGUCACACUUGGCUAAUGAAUCAUAAAAUAGUUUCAUCUUCGUAUGACAAGUUGCCCUUGAUGGCAAAUUAAAAUCUUAAUAAGGGUUUUUAAAAUACGCAUGCAUAUAUACAUGCACAAUCUCUUUCAUUAGAGCCCAAUGUCAAAAUACAAAUUCUUGCUUUGCAUUUCAGAUAUUGUAAACUUUUGAGAACAUCUUCUAGAUCUUUUUAUCUGGUGGCUUCAAAUUCUGUGUAUGCAAAUGCCUUUAACUUAACCUUCGAAAUAAUUGUUUUGGAAAUCUUGAUAGAGUUAUUGGAUAGUGGUUUGUUUUUAAAAAUUAUAUGUAUGUCAUUUGUUAACUACUUACUUAAAUAAUGCAAAAAUUAAUGGUAUAAUUUUCUACCUCCCAUGCUUCCUCAAGAACGGUGGCUUCUUUGGGGCCAUGAUGUAACGGAGAUGUCAGAGACCAAUUACAGAGGCAGAUUGCCGCAGUGCUAGGGAGGAGAAAAUUUUGGAAAAGGAGAUGAAAUGAAUAAAUAACAAAAGCAGUAACAGCAAAUUAAACUUUAGCUUGAAUUUUAUAUAGCACGUACUGGUAAAAAUAUUGUUUCAAAUAACAGUGGCUGUAUGGAACAGUGCUUCUCAAACUUUCAUAUGCACACACACCACCCGGAAAUCUUGCUAAGUGUAGAUUCUUACUCAGUAGAUCUCAGGUGGAGACAAGAGUGCAUUUCUAACCAGCUACCUGUGAUGCUGAUGUGCCUGAUCCAUGGGAAACAUUUUGACAAGCAAGGCACAGCAUAACGCACAUGUAAAUAGAAUAUUUUAUUUUGUUGAAGAUAUAAAUCCAAUUUUAGAAAAAGGUGUAUCUAAGCAGGUAGUUAUAGUUUUUCUACAUAUGGCAAAUUAGCCGGCUAACUUCAAAUACCUUUUUCUGCCUACCUUUGAAUUCUCUUUCUUGGAAUUCUCAACAUUGGCUUAAUCUCAUAUGAGAUUUGACUCAAGGGAUUCCUAAUGAGACAUAUUAGUUUAGUUGUUUUUUUAAAAGAAAAGUGAGAAAAAUGGCAAAAUAUAAAUUAAGAAGAAAAGCAUAAUUUUAAAAUGAUUAUUACUUUUUUAUUUGAUUUGUUGGCUGGAAAAGGGUAUGGCAUUUUAUAUUUCUCAAAGUGGAUUUAAAACAAGAUUUAGAAUAUUACAUCUAAUUCUAACAAUUUACUAAUCAUCAAUAAUUCUUACUUAAGCACCAAAUCUGAUGCUCACUGGAACAAGUAUGUAUUCAAUUGUAAUAAUGUUUAUGCCAGGUUAAAACUCCAAUCCAAAUGCCAAGACAUUUAGAAAACUAAAUUCUUAGAUGUUAUCUCAGGACUUUUUUUUCUCUUUUUCCAAAGAGAGAACAAUGUUAUUGAUGCACUGACCUUUCUCCCAGAUUCUAAACUCAAAUGAUUGUUUAAAAAGCAAAACUCUUACAGUCAAACUGCAUACUUAUUGUUUGAAUGCUUCAUAGCAAAUCUCUUUAAUAGAUGUAUUAGAAUAAAAUGUUUGUUGCACAUCAAUUCUAUUAUCCUUUUUUGUAGAAUGCAGAGCCGAGGUACACUGUGACAUCCAAGACUGCUGCCGGUUCUAGAAAAGCCGAAUAUAAGGAACAGGAGUCCGUUAGGGGCUUCUUUUAUAGAUGAGUCAUAUAAAACCAUAUGGAAAGACCCGAGGAAGAUUUACCCAUUGUUAAAUUUAAAUUCCUUUGAGUUAUGGGAAUUUAAUUUUAGAAAUAUAUACUUGGAUUAUGAUAUUUUUGCCUAGUGUGACAAUACAAAGUGAUAGGACUCAAACAAAAGAUUCCUAACAACAGUAAUAUGCUACUCUUUCAUUAGAAAACUAUGAAUCAGUGACUUUUAAUGUGACAUAACUGUUUUUAUUGCAAAAUAUUUUCAUAUAUUAAGUGUCAAAUGACUAUCACCUAAAACAAAUUAAAUUUUUACACAUUUAAAAAUUACGGGCAUUACGUAUUUUAAAAUAAACUUUUUAUUUUAGAGUGGCUUUAGGUUUAUAGAAAAAUUGUAACAAUUAGAGGGUUUCCACACAUCCCCCACUGUUUCCUCCUUCUGUCAUUAGCAUCUGAUCUUAGUAUGGUGCAUGUGUCACAAUUAAUAAAGCAAUAUCAACAUAUUAUUCCCUAAAGCCCCUAAUGUAUUUAGAUUUUCUUGUUUUUUACCUAUGUAUUUAUUUAAUUUUUCUGUCCCAGGAUCCUACCCCACCCAGGACACCAUGUUAGUUACAGUUAUUAUGUCUUUUUAGGCUUCUGGCUAUGACAGCUUCUCAGAUUUUGUUUCUAAUGACCUUUUUUGACGGUUUCAAGGAGUACUGGUUAGAUGUUUUUCAAAAUAUGCCUAAACUUGAAUUUGUCUGUUGUUUUCUUUUUUCUCAUUAUUAGACUGAGGUUGUGAUUGUUGGGAAUAAGAUUACAGAGGUAAAAUGCCAUUUCUAUCACAUCAGUACUGGCUAUUUGCUGUUAUUGCUAACAUAUCACUGUUGAUGUUAGCUUUGAACACCUGGUAAGGUAGGGUUUUUCAGGGGUUUCCAUGACAAAGUGUCCGAUUUUGUCCACUUUUCCACUCUGUAUUCUUAGAAAGGGAAGUCAUGGCUGGACGCGGUGGCCCAGGCCUGUAACCCCAGCACUUUGGGAGGCCGAGGCGGGCGGAUCAUGAAGUCAGGAGAUCGAGACCAUCCUGGCUAACACGGUGAAACCCUGUCUCUACUAAAAAUACAAAAAAUUAGCCGGGCAUGGUGGCGGGUGCCUGUAGUCCCAGCUAUAGCCUGGGUGACAGAGCAAGACUCUGUCUCAAAAAAAAAAUAAAUAAAUAAAUAAAAAAUAAAGGGAAGUCACUAUGUAGCCAUUGCCACACUUAAGAAGUAGGGAGUCCUGUUCCAACUUUCUGAUGGCAGAAUAUCUACAAUGAUUAUUACGAAUUAUUUUGCAUGAGAGAUAUGUCUAUUCUUCUUGUUAAUUGUUAAUAUUUACUUGUUAAUUCAUUCAGCUGUUGAUAUCAGUAUGGAUUCAUAAAUAUUUAUUUUAUAUUUUGGGUUAUGACCCAAUAGUAUGUGCUUUAUUUACUUUACUUAUUUAAGUUUUUCCGUCUCUGGCCAUUGGGAGCCCUUUCAGUUCUCUCUUGGGUUCUUCCAACAUACUCAUAGCAUUGUGGGUUUGUUGUUCUUUUGUUUGUUUUUAAACUUUCUGACCUUCUGGCACUACAGUGAUGCUAGGGCUUAUCUUGUAAAUUACCUGGACCAGUCCUGGACUCAGACAUUUCUUCAGUAAGUCCUGGUUCCUUCCACUGGAAGAUGGUAUUAGAAACCAAGAUCUAGGUGCUAGGUAUGGAGGCUGCUAUUGGUGGGUCAUUGCUUCUAGGUCCUCUCAGUUGACACAGCACAGAAAUGCAGGUGUGUACACUAUCCCAUGUAUGUACGUGUGUCUGUAAAUGUAAUAUUUUAAUAUAUAAACAUGUGUUUACCAAAACUGAAUUAAUAACAUGAAGCUGUGUGCAAGUUCAUACUGAGGCCUCCACCUCAACUCAUAAGGAUCAUUGUAGCUGGCUCCUCUUCACUAUCUAUAACGUCCCACUCCUGAAAUGAACACCAGGGUGGCAGCAGCUACCAUCGAUAUACUUAACUGCUCAAUAUAAGUUUACAUGCAUAGUGGUUUCCCUAGUGGGAAUCAACUUUAUCAGCCAGACUGCAGGACUUAGGGACAGUCCCUUACAGACAAGUCUCAUUUCAAAAAUUACUCAGAUCAGCACCUCUUUCCUCCAUCCCCUUCAGGGAGGUUGUUUUAUGCAUUUUUAAUAUAGUUAAGUAAGACUUUUUCGUCAGAUGUAUUCUAUGCUGGGCUCCCCUGACCUCCUAACUGAUUUAUUUUAAGCUUACAUGCAGCAAGGUUUUACUCUUUGAGCUGUAAUUUUCUGUGGGUUUUGACAACGACAUGGUGUCAUGUACUUAUCAUUACAGUACCAUAAAGUUUCACUGCCCUGAAAAUCCCCACACACUUCACCUACUCUUUUAUUCUCUAACUCUGCCCUCUUUCUGACCAUGUCUUAUCUUUUUACAACCUCUAUAGUUUUGCCCUUUCCAGAAUGUCAUAGAAAUGGAAUGGCACACUAUGCAGUCUUUUCAGACUGGCACCUUUCACUUGGCAAGAAGCACUGAAGAUUCACCCAUGUCUGUGUAAGGCUCUGUGACUCAUUCCUUUUUAUUGUUGAGAAGUAUUCCAUGGUGAACCACAGUCUGUGUAUCCAUUCAAGUACUGAAGGACGUAUUGGUUAAUUUCUGUCUUGGGAAAUUAUGAAUAAAGCUGCCAUACAUACUUGCUUGCAGGGUUUGGUCUAAACAUACUUUUCAGAUCAGUUGUGUCAAUACUUAGGGGCAUGACUACUGGGUCAUAUGGAAGACUAUGAUUAGUUUUAUAAGAAACUGCUUAACUGUCUUCCAGUGUCUGCGACAUUUUGUAGUCACCAACAAUGAGCAAGAGUUCUGCCGGCUCUGCUUUCCUGCCAGGCAUUGCUAUUUUGGUGGGUUUAAGAAUAACAAUAGAUGUGUAGUGAGUUUUGCCACUAGUUUAAUUUAUAUUUCCACAAUGACAUAUAAUAUUGAGCAUCUUCGUCUUUUCGUGUGAUACUUUUACCCUUGCUGAGGUAUUCGUUCAAAUUUGCCCAUUUCUUUUCUUUUUUCUUUUUUCUUUUAACAGACUCUUGCUCUGUCGCCCAGGCUGGAGUGCAGUGGUGUGAUCUCAGCUCACUCCAACCUCGACCUCCCUGGUUCAAGCAAUUCCCCUGCCUCAGCCGCCUGAGUAGCUGGGAUUACAGGAGCAUGCCACCAUGCCUGGCUAAUUAUUUAUUUAUUUAUUUAUUUAUUUAUUUUUAGUAGAGACGGGGUUUCACCAUGUUGGCCAGACUGGUCUCAAACUCCUGACCUCAGGCAAUCCAUCCGCCUCGACUUCCCCAAAUGCUGGGAUUACAGGCAUGAGCCACCAUGCCCAGCCCCAUUUCUUAAUUGAGGCAUUAGUUUUCUUAUUGUUGAAUUUUAAGAGUGUCGUAUAUAUUAGAGUCAAGUGUUUUUAUCACAUAUGUGUUUUGCAAAUAGUUACUCAUUUUCUUGGGCUUCCAUUUUUAUUCUGUUAAAUGCCAUUUGCAGAGCAGACAUUUUUAAUUUUAAUAAUGCCUGACCUAUGAAUCUUUUUUUGAGUGUGAAUGGAUCAUGCUUUUGGAGCUGUAUUUAGAAACUUUUAUCAAACAGAAGGUCAGGUAGAUUUUCUGCAUUUUCUUUCAGAAGUUUUGCACCUUUGUAUUUUACAUUUAUGUUUAUGCAUCAUUUUGAGUUAAUUGGUAUUUUAAUUUUUUAUUUCCAUAGGUUAUUGGAGAACAGGUGGUAUUUGAUUACAUCAGUUUUUUAGUGGUUAUUUGUGAGAUUUUGGUGCACCCAUCACCCAAGCAGUAUACACUUCACCCAAUUUGCAGUUUUUUAUCCCUCACUUCCUUCUCAUCCUUUUCCCCUGAGUCCUCAAAGUCCAUUAUGUCAUUCUUAUGCUUUUAUAUCCCAUUUUGAGUUAAUUUUUGUGAAAAUUGUACAGUCUGUGUCUAGGUUUUUUUUUUUGGAAAUAGGUGUGCAACCGUUCCAACAUAAUUUGUUUAAAAAGCCUGUGUCUUCAUUGAAUUACCUUUAGGCCAACAUAAAGAAUUAAGUGAAUGUGUUUGGAUCUAUUGCUUGGCUUCAUAUUCUGUUCAUUGAUGAAUGUGUUUAUUCUGUUUUUGAAACCACGCUGUCUUGAUUACAAUAAACUUUAUAGCGAAUCUUGAAAUUGGAUGAUUUGAAUCUUCUAACUUCAUUCUUCUUCAUUAGAGGACAAUUCUAGAUUUUUUGCAUUUCUUCAUACUUUUGAAUCAGGCUGGUGAUAUCUAACAAAUAACUUGCUGGGAUUUUGAACAUGAAAUAUUUCUUCAUUUAUUUAAAUGUCAUUUGAUUUCUUUCAUCAAUUUUGUAGUUUUCCACAUGUAGAUACUUAAAUAUUUUGUUAGAUUUGUUCUAACAAAAGAGUUCAUUCUUUUGGUGCAAUAGUAAAUUGUAUUCCUUUUUUACAUUUUACAUUCCAAUUGUUUACUCCUAGUAUACAAAAUAAUUAUAUAUGUUAAUAUUGUUCCCUGUGACCGUGAUAUACUCAUUUGUUACUUAUAUAUAUAUAUUUUUUAAAUCUACAGAGUCAUUCAUGUGACAGUUUUAUGUCUUCCUUUCCCAUUUGUAUAUUUUCAAUUACACUUUUUUGUCUUUUUGUGCUAGUUAGCAUUUUGGGCAUGAUGUCAAGUGAAAUCGUAUGGGAGGACAUCCUUGCCAUUUCUAAUCUUAAGGGAAAGUCAUUAAGUUUCUCACCAUUAGGUAUGAUAUUAGCUGUAGGUUUUUGGUAGAUAUCUUCUUAUCAAGUUGAAAAGGUUCCCCUCUAUUCCUAGUUUGCUGAGAAUUUUUAUUUUGAAUGGUUGUGAGGUUCGUCAAAUGUUUUUUCUGCAUCUAUUGAUAUGAGCAUAUGAUUUUUCUUCUUAGCUUGUUGUCAUGAUGGAUGACAUUGAUUGAUAUUUGAAUGUUGAAUCAUUCUUUUGUAUACUUUACUUCAGGUAUGAAAUGAUCCCACUUGGUUGUAGUGUAUUUCAAAAAAUACAUUGUUGGCUUUGACUCACUAAUAUUCUGUUGAGCUAUAAUUAUAAGACAUGUUGGAGUCUAGUUUAUUCUUCUGUAAUGAUUUUAAUCUGGCUUUGGUGUUAAAGUAAUUCUGGCCUCAUAAAAGGUACUGGGAAGUAUUCCUUCUGCUUCCAUUUUCUGCAGUGAAGUUUAUAAAGUUUAACCUAAUUCUCCUGGUUUUAAUGCCUAAGCAUCACCCACCACUGUGCCUCACAUGUCCCAGUGUAUAAUCUCUCUGAAUCAAUUUCUUUCUGUGUUGGGGAGGUAUGGUUACUAGUCUCAGAUUAAUGGCUACAAAUAUACAGUUUGAUAAAAUAAAUAAGACUGAUAGAUUAGUAGGCUGAUUAUAGUCUACAAUAAUUAUUGUAUAUUUCAAAAUAUCUAGAAAAGAAUAAUUUAAAUAUUUCUAGCAUAAAGAAAAGACAAAUAUUCAAGGUGAUAGGCAUCUUAAUUGCGCUGCUUUUAUCUUUAUUGAUUACGUGAAUGCAAUAAAUUAUCACAUGUAUCCUGAAAGUGUGUACAUCUAUUAUACAUCAAUUAGAAAACAUUUAAAAACUCAGAGAAGGAAUCCUGGAUGCCCGAUCACUAUUUAUUCCACCUGUCAAUUGGCCCUCCUGGUUUUGAACCCCAUCUGAUCACUGCAUUUGCAAAACUCAGAACCUCUCGUUUUUUAUCUUUCCCCAUUCUUCAGUGAAAAAUUCUCUUAGGAUUCAGCUUCCUUUGUUCCGCUAAGUCGGUUUCCACCAUCCCGCCCAAAUAUUUGUUAAUGUAUCUCAUCCACUGCAGCCUCUCCUUUCAGUCACCUGUCUGUGAAUUUAUACUUCUUCUCUAUAAUUUCCUUAGGAUUUGUGGAAGGAGCAGACAUAGGCGAGCAUGUGUCUAAUCUACUACCUUUACCCAGAGUUUCUAUAAUUUAUUUGCUUAGAAAUGUUAUGAAGCUUUUACAAAAUCAUAUGACAUCCAUAAUGCAUUAUUUAAUAGAGCAGAACCUUACAUUUUAUGAGUUUAUCGUUCACGCAAAAGUAAUAGAAAUCUGAAGGAGACUUGAAAGGCUUGAGGCUGAAAAACAUCUAAUUUAUGGAAUUUGAGAAUUGUAGCAUCUCUGGGGUAGAGUUGGGUGUUUCUCUUUGUGGCAGAUCUUCUCCUUACUCUGGAAUAAAAUGAUUUGAUGAGUAAGUAUAGUUUCAUACACAUGGUGAAGUUUCAGUAUAAACUCAUGCAGGAUUGAGGUUGGAGCCUAGUCAUUAUUCUUGGUACAAAGGAUUAACCCAAACGCAGUUUCUUCAUUCAGAGCUACUGUACAUUUAUUUAGAAAUGGAAAUUGGGUAUAUAAACAAGGCAGCAUCUUUGUACAAUAGAGCAUUUUACCCCUAAUUUUAGAUUUGAAUUAUUCAAUGAAGAAACAUGAGGCAUAUGCUUCCGGGAAUGUGGAGGUACAUGAUCUCCACUCAAUGCUCUGAAGAACAUUCCAUGGCAAGGACGUGGCUUGACUAACAUGUCCAACUAACGAUGCGCUCUUCUUUAGAAGGUUGUUUAAGAGUGGAUAAAUAUGACUUUGGGGAAAAUGGAAUAUUUCAUUUGUGGUUUUUGGUGACCAAACCAUUUCUGAGUUUCCGCUUUCCUCUUAAGUAAAUAGCUAUGUUUAUUGUCAAUUAAUGUGGAGCAGGAAAGAAGACAGCACCCAGAUUUCUGCCAUUGUUUUGAGAAAGGAUAUUGGCAGGUUUUCCCAAGCCAUCUCCUCCAACCCUCCUUGACACCCUUUGUCCUGGGAUCUGGCUCAGUGGACACAGUUAUGGGGGGUGGCACAUAUUCUCAGAGGAUAGGAAGUUUAUGGGGAAGAAGGGGAAUGAAACCCACAUCCAGAGACAGAAUUAUCUGAAACUUUAACAUUCAGGGACUCUUGUUUGAUAAAUCCCUGCAAAAUCCUGGGAGAGGCUUCCUCCUUGGCAAUAUGUUUCAUAAGUCAUGUUUUAUAAAUGGCUGCUUUUUAUAGAAAUUUAUUUAAUGAAGUAGAAUCAGAUUUUCUUCUGAUUCAAAACCCCAGGAAUGGAUGAGUCAUAUGCCCAUUUCCUACUCUAACUGCUCUCCUUUCUCCGCUGGAACUUUCUCAGCCAAAAGCAUCAUUUGGAAGAAGCAAAAACAAUCUUAUCUAAAUGGAUGUGUGCAGAGAGGACUUUGUAUUUACAAAUAAUUUGUUUUAUUUUCUGCUUCCUGUAGAUGGAGCUAAAUCCUUAAGCAUAUGUUUACAUGUGAUGGAAUUCCCAGGAAGGAGAUCUUUGAAAGACAAUAAUAAUAUCUGCUGCUGAAGGCUUUUAAUUCUUUGGACAAUAAGUGGUGCUACACUGGGCACAAUUUGGUGCUAAAGAAAGAAAGUUAUUUGUAGGCAGAAUCCUGUACCUGCCUCCUAGUCUCUGCAGAGAACAGAGAGUUUGUUGUUGAAUAGAAAUGGCCAGCAGUGUUACUAUUGCUGUAUUUUGUAUUUUAUCUAAGGUCAUAUUCAACUUCUUUUUUUUCUCAUAAAAAAUUAAACUGUUAAACUGCCCAUUAUCCAUUGUCCUUUUACACGGGUGUUUCCUGGUCUUGUCUGUUGCUCAAUGUGAUUGAAUGACCAUGUAUGACAAAUAGUAAUGAGCUCAUAGUAUUUCCCUUAGUCAGUUAAUAAACAGUGCAUAUCUUUGGAAGAAGAGACACACUUUAUUACUUCCCCAUAUGGUUUCAAAGGGAUGUGAGAGCACAAUGAGUCAGGCCAACAGGAAAACUUAAAAAAAGAAACGGAAAAAAAAGUUUUUAAAGAAUCUUAUUGUGUUUCUCCCAAGUUGCUCAUAGCAACUUGUUUAUUAAUUCUAGAAAUAGGCAAAGAAAUUUUAUACCUUAAUAAGAAAAGAAAAAGACAAUAUUUUAGGGAGUUUAAAUAAUAUUUAUAUGGAAAACAAUUUUAUUAAGUGAAUUCACAUAUGUCUUAAGUGCUUUUUAGUGUAUCCAAGACAGCAUUAGAUACAUGUUACUUCUUAAAAAAAUAAAUGACCCCUCAAAAAGUUUUUAAGACAUUUUUCUAUUUUUUUCCAAUCAGCUUCCAUUUUUGUAACUAGUAUACUAAUUCACGGCAAAGUAAAAACAAACCAAUUAUAACAUAAAAUAUUACUUUGAGAUAUUUUGAUUAUUUUUAAACGUCAUAAUUAUUUGAAAUCAGAAAGCAAAAAAUGCUGGAAUCAAAGUUAAUUUCAGCCUCCAAAUGUUUAAACUGUGUAUUAAAACCUCUCUCAUCUUAUGUAAAUUUUAAUUCUUUAAAGUUGUGACAUUUUCAAAAAUCAAAUAUAUAUUUUAUUUGGAUUAAUACAUAAUCUUGCAGAAUGAGUUUAUUAUAAUUUUAUUCAUAUAUGAGCUUUAAAUUUAUAUCCCAAAUAAUUCUCAGAAACAUUGGAGUACUCAGUUUUGUAGGUUGGUUAGCAUUUUGAUGUAUCAUUUACUAUUAGUUUUUAGAGGUUAGAGCAUCAAUGAAAAGAAAUAUUGGUAAUAUAGAGGCAAGUUCUGAAAUCUGUGGUUUCCAAGUCAACAUUCAGGAUUAUUCUUUUAAAAAAAUAUAAUUAAAUUUUCUCAAAGUUACAUUUACUAUAUUACAAAUAGUCUCUUGUUUUGAUUUAUUAGGAAGACGUUAACAGCAUAUUCUUUUUUAUGCAGUUUUCUUAAGACUCCAUUAAAACAAAUGGCUUUCCGGUCCGUGCCCCCUUCCAGGUCAGCUAACAAUUUUAUAUUGAUUUGCAAAAGAGGCUCCAUUAUAAAAACCUUUUGUAAUUAUCUAAAUUCCAUGUGUUUAGGAAGCUUUUGAACCAUCCAGGAAUAAGCUAAUUUCCGUAAUGGUGAGAAAGAAUUGUACAGUGGAUACAAUAAAUGCUUGUCUACUUACUUAGGCUUGUGUUUGAGUCUGUAAGUGCAUGAUUUGCUAAUUUUGUUAAAAAAAUAGUAAAAAUUCUAAUCUUCAUUUGUAUUGUUUCCUAUAUAAAAAAGCAAACCAUUAGCAAUUAUAGUCCUAUUUCUUAGUCAUAUACUGUCAAUCAGCUAUCUUGAAGAUGGAACUGGGAAACCAGAACUUAUAUUCAACAUGAUAAGGAAAUUUGAAUUCAUUUUAUAUACUAUAAAGUUUAUAAAAGUUAUUAAUAAGUAACCAUAAGAAUGGAUUAAAAAAUAUUUAAAGCAUACCAAUUGACAGAUUUGUAAAUAUCAUUGAAAAAGUCAGAGAUAACUUGGCCGAGAUAUCUAUAGCACCUUUACACUUUAAAAUUUUAAUAUCAAUAUGCCUUCUUAUGAGUUAUGUGUUUGCAUAUUGACUGUGUUCAAAUUUGUUAUUUCAAAUUCCCCUUUGUUUAGGACUCUUGAAAGCACACAGGACUAACUGAGUUAGGGCAAUGGGCUUCCAGUGCCCUCUUGGCUGUCACCUUAUUUAAUAAGGCCUGGCUUGUGCAGUCACUAGUUGGAUUGGAUUAUGUUCUUCCUGACAUUUCCAUUCACUCUGUUGCCCAGCCCUAAAUAUGUUAAGCAAGAUGAGCUAUCCUGGGGCCAGGAUGAUUUUCCUUCAAAAGCAUCCUCAUCAGAUUUAAAUAUUUACUGCUUUCCCCCAUAUCAAAGUCAAUUAAAUAACUUCUCAUACAAUUUAUGAAAGCCAAAAAGCAAUCUAGAAAGGAACACAUCCAAACCCAUUGACUCCAUUGUAGAAAGAGAAAUGAAAACGUGGGUUUCACUGGAGUGUUCUGGCAUGGAAGUAGUGUCUCUUGUUGACUUUAGGAAUCCUGGAAUGUGGCCCUAGGAAGGAAAACCCUUGAACAUUAAGGGGCCCCUUAAUGAAUUUCUCUAUUUCUCUAUGAUCUUUCUUUAGUUCCAUAGCCCCCACCUAAGUAGAGGGUGAGGUCAGAGGGAAUAAAGAAAGACAUAAAGCAAAUUAUGCUGUCGGCUAUCCAAAUUGUACAACCUUAUUCAUGCUGAUUAUGUAUUGCAGGCAUAUGCAAAAAUAAGUUUGCAUAUCCUGAGCAUAUCCGACCUCACCUUUGUUGUGAAUAAAUCACAGACUGUCCUGGAUUCCAGAAGAGUUCCAACCAGUGAAGCUGGCAUUCCAGGAGAAUCCUCUGAUUCUUUUGGCAAAACUGAGUCAAGAACAUAUUGCCAGUUCUUCCUGGGCUCAACUAAAUGUGGAUUCCAUUCACAAUCACUUUUGCUUUGCAUGUUGUGUACGCUUAUGACCAUCAUGUUUAUCAGCAGUUCCAGAGGGCAGCUGCGAGGUUGCUUCCAAAUAUUGCAAUAUGAUUCCAUAAUGUUUUGUAGAAUUUGGAAUCCAUUAUUCUCAUAUUCAAGGACAGGUUUCAGAUUUCAGCAUUGAAAGAUGUCUUCCCAGUUCUUUCAUUGCUUUCAGGGUGCUCAGCUCACAUGGCCUGAGACAGGAAUUGUGCAGCCUCCACAGCCACCUAAACUAUAGACUUUCUAGAGGACUCUACAAAAGCCUGUUUCAUGUGCAGCAUGGUGGAAGAAUACAGUUAACUUUUUCAAUACUAGAACCAUAAAAAUCACUGAAACUAUAUUACCUUUUUGUUUAUCCUAAAAGAGACAAAUAUUCACCCUAUCUAGAAACACAGAACAUCUUCAAAUGCACCUCUGCGUUGUUGAAAAAGGCAUGUUUUGGGGAACUUUAAAGGUGUUGAAUAAUGAAGAAUUCUUUUAUUUAUUCCUUUGAUAAUUCUACUAAAAGUGCAUUUUUUAACAAGAAGACAGUUUCUUUGUUCUUUGUUCAUUAACAUUGCUGUAUUCAACAUAACUUUGAAUCAAAUUAUCCCUUUCACAAAACUGCUCACGUUGUUUCCUGUUCCUUGGCACGAUGAAGCCAUGCAUAUGUAUGACGCGUCACCAAGUGUCAUUUUAGGAAAGACCCUGUUAGUGUGCCUAUGGAGAGAAGCAGAGUUAGAGUAUUGUAGCCAUGGAAGCCACUUUACUUUGCAGCCUUUAGCUUCCUGGAGGGAAUCUGGUGAUGGGAAAGGAAUUCCAUUUUGCAUACUACAUUGUUAGCGUGCAAAUGCUCCACUUAUUUAUAUCAUUCAAUUCAAUCUGGACAUCUUACUUUAAAAAUGUAUAUCUCAGUCCCUCUUUGAAGAAAAAUAUGAUGAAAAUAUAUGAAUUAGAGCUCACAAUUUUACAUUAUUUGUAGAUCAUAAUAACGAUCUUGGCAUUUGUAUUUACCUUACAUAGAGAUGGGAAAACAUUUUGGAAGGUUUUUUGGAGCAAUAGGAGAGGGGAAUGAAAUAUCCCAUUAAAACAGGAAGGACAUUGCUGUCACCUAAUCAGACAGCCUCAGGACUACCAGCAGAUGGUGCAACAACCUAUUUAAUCCUCAGCAUUAUCAGAAAAUAACCAAGAAUGGCAUCUUUCUUUGCUAAUUAAUUCUGAAUACUCCUAAAAAAUUAUGACUUUAAUGAUAAUAGCAUUUAAAACGAUAACCAUAGAAUCUGUAAUAAUUUUUUAAUAAUUAUACAUAAUAUCUGACUUUUUGAACUAAAAGAGACUUUAGAACUCUCUGGUCCAAGCCUUCUGUUUAACAGCUGAGGAAACUCAAGUUCUUAAGUUUAAACUUCAACCACCAGCUAAGGAGGGUCGUGAUGAGUCUUGGUCAUAUGACAGAACCCAUCGCUCAUUGAUUCAGCAACAUUAUCCCUCAGCAAAUACGAUUUCUAGCCCAAUAAUCAAAAUUUGAUGGGGUGGCGGAUGGCAUUUGAUCAUCCAAGUUAAGAUUUUUCAGCAGAUGUUUAUCUGUGGAGACUCUUCUAUUGUAAGAACAUUCAUAGUUUUAGAAAAGAGGCAUUUUCUGGGAGAACAUGCUCUCCUGUCCUCUCUGUUUCCAGCUGCAAACUAACGUGUCAUUUUGCCAAAUGCUUCCUGUCUAGCUUCUGGCUAUUUCUGAGAGAGAGAGAGAAGGUGGGGGCAGGGGGAGAAAGAGAGAGAGAGAGAGAGAUUUUUUUUUACACAUUUGCUUUGUACUAGGAAAAUAUUUCUUAUACAGUCAACAAUAGCAUAUUAAUGGGGAUGAUUUAAGGAGCCCAAGCUUCUAUUCUGUUGCCAGAAUGCCAACGGGAAUGUAUGCUACUUUUCAAAAAAUAGGUGUUGACAAUAGCCUGCAGUAUUGCACUGUAGUCAAAGAAGAGUGCUGAAAGCUUCAGUUCAUAAAAAUGCUUGAUUCAUCAAAAAUAAUCACCUCACCUGAUAAUUGAAAGCUACAGAGAAUUAUUAUGCAGCCGUGGACUCUCAAAAAUUUAUUCAUUUUUGGUAAUUAACAUUAUUUCUUCUUGAUGAUGUUGCUAAAUGGCUUGAACCCAGUCUGAAGAACCAUGCAUGAUCAUUUAUGCUGAAAAGAAAAGAAAUUAGAAGCUUUUGUUGCACAGAAUGGUGGAUAAAGAUUGCGAAUUUGCACAGCUAUAAAGCUUACUAAUUAAAGACUACAAACACAAAGAGAGCAAGCCUUGUGAUGACUGCACAAUAACGAGGAUUCAGAUACAACGUGGUCGCCACCUGACGCCCACCUCCACAAAAAGCCAUUCUCAAAAGGAGAGAGACAUUCAUAUCCAGAAGAGGGAGUCGGCUGUAGGGUAGAGAUGUUCGUCUGAAGAUUUCAAAGCCCACUGCUGAUUUAAGGUCAUUCACAUUCAGCCAUGAAGCUGCUCUGAAGACACAGGAACUGCAUAGCUCCCUACUGGGAAUGUCAAGGGCUGUGAAAGGUCUAAGGUUUUAUCCUACUUGCAACCAACAAGCUAUGCAGCCACAGUUUUAUGGAUGCUGUCAAAAGACAUGACACUCCUGGCAUGCAGUUUAGGCUGCUAACAACAGCAUGAGGGCAACCUGCUGUGGUGACCUAAGCUAUGACACCCCACCCCAAGUCCGGGAUGCAGCUAACUGAGCAAACUGCAUGAACUGGGAGGCGGCCGACCAUUGUUCACGCCUCUCCUUCGCGUAUGUGUUUUCUACUGUUCUUGCACUGUAAAGGCAGAGGUUGCAUCGGGCCCUUAUGCAAAGCCCCAAAUAAUUACUGGCUGACUCUUCUCAGGGAACAUUUGCUAACCCUGUCACAAGCCAUAAGGUUCCACCACAGAUUGCCCUGUGGCUCUCUCGUUACGUUUCUGUGUGGACGUUUCCACAUGGUCUGAGGCAUUCAUCCAAGAAGAGCAGGAUGUAUUAGUGACUGCACAGAUUCUGCCUUGGCCCACAAAGAGGACAUCCAGGGCAGUCCUGGUCAUCUGUAAUAACAUUGCCCAGUGAGUUGAGGCUGACCUGAGUACUGACUUGGGUUGAGUUGGUGUCACUGAUCACUUCAGCCAAAGAUGGGACAUUUCUUAGCACCUGUUCUGAUUGGCUGACUUCUAUGGUCAGGAUAACGGCUCUCAGGAUGCGUAUAACUGCCAAGUCUCUCCGGGAAGCUUCCCUGGGUUACCAAGGAAUCCUCAUGUCUGAGAGAGCUCCACCAUCAUCCAAGGGCCACACGGAGUUUCUUGCAAUGCUUCAAGGUCUCCUGUAAUAACUCCUAUGAUAGAAGUCACUGUGUUUUGGGGAGGUAGACUGCAGCAUGCAGUUUUGACAGCAUGACCAAGGUCAUUGUUCAGGUCUGAUUAUUCAAAUUCAAAAAACUGCAACCUCAGGCAUAAAAGAUUAAGGAUGGAGCCCAAGUCUCUGGGUCCCCAAGGGGGACUGAAGCACAUACUCACCCAUCUGAAUAUGCUGGAGAACAGGAAGGAGAGACUCAAGCUUGUCUGGGUCUGUUGGAUACAGACUCUCCCAUCUCCACCCCAUCAGGUCCUAUGGAGGCCCAAGUUCAGCUGAUGAAGUUAAGGGAGUGCUCAGUGCAGAAGGGUGGGAGGGCACUUGGGGCAUUUUGGGGUCCUGUUUUUGUUGCUUCUGCAUCUGAUACAGCAGGAAUUGAAGUAUUGCACACUUGUCCUUCCCAUUUCCAAGUGCUGCCUUCCCAUCAGUAAGAGCCACAGUUAGAGAGGGACCAACAGGAGGAUAACUCCCACAUGCUUAGCAUUCCAAUAAUGGAACACUAGGCAUAAAUUGAUAAGAUGCUUUCAAUGCAAUCAGUACUCUGCCAGGAUUCACUAAGUAGAGAAUGACUAAAUAUUUACCCAUCUCCUAACAAAAAUGCACAACUGAGGACAGAUGUUUUGCACUUUUAUGUGUCUACGGACUGUGUAAGAGGAUUUGGCUGGGUCAUCAUCUUCUUCUUCUUCUUAGACUGGUUGAUGGUGACCGUUCAUUGAUCCAAUAUGGUAAAGUCAUGUCCUGGUCUGUGUUCUUCGGGGUCCACAACCCUCUUUAACAGCCUGUUGUAAGGUUCUCGACCACGUCACUGUCUAGCUAAACCAUUCUGCAUUUCAGUAGGUAAACCAGCAGGAGGGCUUAAAAACCACAUUGCCCUGUCCACAUCCCUAUUUCUGAUUCUUUUCUGGCCUGCGAUCCUACAUCUCUAUCCUCACUUUAAACUGUUUUCCUCUUUUCUUCUCCUUUUUCCUGACCUCCUUUAUGUUUUUCAUUUCUCCUCCAUCUGAAUAUACCAAACCAUCCUUUUGCUUCCUCUUUUCUCUUCAUUAAUUAUUCUAGGGGCUAUUUUUUUUAUUAGGAAGAUGUAUUAUUUUAACAUGCUUUAUAAAGUUAGUGGCAUUAAGGAAUUAAUGUCCUUGGAAACUCAUACAUGUUCAGCUUCUAGAAACCCCUGAUUCCAAGGAGCAAAAACAUGCCAUCUCUGACAGUGUCCACAAGAACAAUACCAGAUCAGACGAUAAAGCCAACACACAGCAUAGCCAAUGGCCACACAUCCAGAAAACACUCUCAACAAAUUUAACCCUUCAGUAUUCACUGUAGCCAAUAUAUAUUCAAUAUAUAUAGCUGACUUUGUUUUUAUAUUUGAUGAAGUCCUGCUAUUUGAAAUAAAAUAAUCAAACCAACAACAACAACAACAAAAACCCCAUACAUGGUGAUAGCAUAUGUGAGGCAGUAGCAAUUUCUCCAUCUUUUCUGUCCUGUCUUUCCUGUUCUUCGUUCCCAUGCUAAGAAGGGAUGGAUAUAUCUCGGAGAUUACACAGGUUCUAGUCAAAGACUUCAUUGUGAACGUUUGUUUCACAUUUUCCCUGGAUAAGGACUAAUUAAAAGUUUGGAAAAGUAUACCUUUUUUUUUUUUUUUUUUUGCAAACUUACCCAUAUUAUGUGCUUUUUCUUGAUACAGCUGCUAAUCUUUGCUGUAUAUGUAGUGUUAGGAAGUCUACUUUAAUACACACACACACGUUUAAUGAGGUAAAAUAUGCAUAACAUAAUUACCAUUUUAACAAUUUUUAAGUGUAGAGUUCAGGGGCAAGUACGUUCAUGUUCUUGUGCAACUAUCACCACCAUUUUUUCUCCAGAACCCUUUUUAUCAUCUCAAACUGAAACUCUGCACCCACUGAACAAUAACUCCCCGUUCUCUCCUCCUCCUAGACCCUGGUAACCCCUCAUCUAUUUUCUGUCUCUGUGUAUUUGACUAUUCUAGGUACCACAUUAACGUGGACUUACACAGUAUUCGUCCUUUUGUGACUGGCUUAGUUUAUUUAGCAUAAGAUCCCCAAGGUUCAGCCGGGUGCCGUGGCUCAUGCCUGAAAUCCAAGCACUUUGGGAGGCCAAGGUGGGUGGAUCACCUGAGGUCAGGAGAUUGAGACCAGCCUGGCCAACACGGUGAAACCUCAUCUCUACUAAAAUACAAAAAUUAGCUGGGCCUGGUGGCGGGCGCCUGUAAUCCUAGCUACUAGGUAGGCUGAGGCAGGAGAUUAGCUUGAACCUGGGAGGCGGAGGUUGCAGUGAGCAGAGAUGGGACCACUCCACUCCAGCUUGGGCAACAGAGCAAGACCCUGUCUCAAAAAAAAAAAAUUCAAGGUUCAUCCAUGCUGUGGCAUGUGUCAUAAUUUCAUUUCUUCAUAUUCCUGAAAUACAUUUCUAAAUAUAAAUUUUUCAUUACUGUUUUCAUUUCAAGUUAAGUUUAUCAGAUCCUGUAGUCCAGGGACUUCAGUCUCUUUGAAUUAUGUCUUUCUUGGACAAUUUGGGAGCUCUUUUGAGAAACUGAAUACAAUUUGAAUACACUAAAAUCUGAAUCACACCAUAGAUAACGACAUAGUGUCUUAGUGAGAAGAAAUUUGAUUCUGCUGACUAGGAUACUAAAGUUUGACCUUUAUGGUCAUCUCUUAAUAAAAUAAAAGGAGAGCACUGGGCUAUUAAAUAGUUUAUUCAUGGAUCAUAGGGUGAAUAAGACCUAGAUCCUAGAGGAAAUCCUCCCCACAAAGACACUCAGACUUUUAUUCCUGUCAAUGUUCUUGUGGAUUUCAGGGAGCAAUGAUGGCUAUAAAUCUGCAACUCAUAGCAUUUCAGGCUAAACACAUUCAGCCUUUAUUACCAUUGUUCAUUUGACCUCUUUAUCCAAUUUUUUUCCCACCCACUUGCCAAUAUCACCUUGUUCUUAUGUAGGCUGUGUUUCAGCCAGCUUAAGCCUUACUAACAAAUGAGGUGAAAUCCAUCUGAGGAGGAAGCCGGGGCAUGGUGGAUUGAAAUAGCUUGCCUCAGGAGCAGAAAAUUUGGUGUGGAUCAAGAAAUAGAACUCCAAAGUAUACCUUUCCAGUCAUUGGCUUUAGCUGGAGCCAGCAUCCUUCAAUGAAUCAGUCAACAUUUACCUAUCUGUUCCCCACAGCAGUUUUGCAAAUCGCUUUCAGAAAUCAUUGAACCACUAACAGUUUAUCCACUCUGCAAAAUAUACACAGCUCUUCCCAUAUCCAGGAGGGUUAUCCCUUCUCAGCUGCGUUCAACACUUUUUACAACCCCUGAUUUCAAUAAGCAGAAUACAUCCACCUGCUUAGGGAAAUUACUCUUACCAUAUAAUUGCCUCUUAUGUUGAAAUGUCCAUGAGACCCUCUCAUGAAAUAGGGGACAAGAUAAAGCACAGAUUUUCCCCCAACUCAAACAUGCCUGUCUCAUACAUGUCAUGCCCUUGGAAAUGGCCAACACUGCUCUCUGCCUCCUGUUUAGGGUUAAGGCUUUCACUAUCUCUUGCCACCUCUGAUGAAAUUACUAACAAAUAUAUUAUCCUUACCCUUUGUCUUCUAUUCCAGCACUUCAAAUGCAUCAAAGGUCCAGAGAGAAGCUUCUUCUGGUCACCUUGAUCUUGUGAUGCAAGGCAGGUGGGAGCAAGGGCUCCACCUCUGCAGACACAGAGAUGACGGGGUCGCCAUGCCGGCGUUUUAGUCCCGGUUUCCUCUGCUCGAGUAGUUGGUGGCCUCCUGCCUGUUCCCUAACAUAACUUCACUUUCCUUACCUGCAAAACGAAAUUAGUAUUUCCUCCCUCACAAGGUGCUUGAUGCCCUUCCCCUUGCGUUUACUUUGCCUGAGAGACUAUAUCAUAUCUAUGAUUUUGUGAAUGGGGCAAAAGGAAUUGAGAGUGUCAGGGUAUACCUUAUAAAUAAGCCACUAAAGGUUACAUCCUCAUUCCACAAACUGACCUAAACAAUUUGGCUGUCACUAAUAGAUUAUUUUGGUCAGUUAUGGCAUUUAGAGGGAGAAGAGAGAGUAUAUAUAUAUGGGUGGGGUGUGUGUGUAUGCGUGUGUAUGUGUGUGUUUACAGUCAAAAUACCAAAAUAUAUCUAUGUAUAUAAAUAUAUUUGCUUUCUUUGUUUUUGUUACAAUAAACUUGUACAUACAAUUCUGACACACAUAUUUUCAUAUGUAGGCACAAAAAUAGUCAUACAAAAAAUACCACAAAAGGUAAUAACAAAGUGGAAGAAGACAUAGGAACAGAGAACAAACCAACACAUAGAAAAAGUAACAAACAUGGUAGAUACGAAUCCAGCUAUAUCAAUAAUCGCGUUAAACAUCAAUGGUCUUAAAUAUACUAGACAGUGGAAUAUUAUUCAGCAUUGAAAAGAAAUGACCUAUCAAGCCAUGAAAGACAAGGAGGAACCUUAAAUGCAUGUUACUGAGUGAAAGAAGCCAAUCUGAAAAGGCUGCAUCCUGCAGGAUUCUGACUCUAUGACAUUCUGGAAAAGGUAAAACUACUAAGACAGUGAAAAGAUCAGUAGCUGCCAGGGGUUACGGGAAGGGGAUGAUGAAUAAGUGGGGCACAGCAUUUUGAGGAGGUGAAACUACUCUGUAGGAUACUGUAACAGUAAAUCCAUGUCAUUAUAUGUUUGUACACACCCAUAGAACACCAGGAGGACAGCACCAAGAGGGAGCCCUAGUGUGAACUGUGGACUCUGGUUGGUAAUGAUGUGCCUGUGAAGCUUCAUUGUUUGCAGCAAAUGCAUCAGUGUGGUGGGGGAUGUUUCUAAAUUGAUAAUGAAGGACGCCAUAGGUGUAUGGGGGCAGAGAGUUUAUGAGAAAUCUGUACCUUUUGCUCAAUUUUACUGAACAUAAAACUGCUGAAGCCAUCAUUCUCAGCAAACUAACCCAGGAGCAGAAAACCAAACGCCGCAUGUUCUCACUCAUAAGUGGGAGUUGAACAAUGAGAACACAUGGACACAGGGAGGGGAACAUCGUCACACACCGGAGCCUGUCGCAGGGUGGGGAGCUGGGGGAGGGAGAGCAUUAAGACAAAUACCUAAUGCAUGUGGGGCUUAAAACCUAGAUGAUAGGUUGAUAGGUGCAGCAAACCACCAUGGCACAUGUAUACCUAUGUAACAAACCUGCACAUUCUGCACAUGUAUCCCAGAACUUAAAGUAAAAUAUAUUAAAAAAAUUAAAGUCUAUUUUAAAAAAAGAAAAACAAUCAGCUAACCUACUUUGGUAGCUCUGUUCUGCGCUGUCGGGUCUUCCAUCCUAGCGUGUGACACAGGAGGGUUUCGCUGGCAGGACCCGCCCACUGCACAUGCAGGUUCAGGUGACAGAGACCUCUGGAAAGAUGAGGCCCGUGGGAGCAGGGGGCUUCUUGUUGACACUGAAGGUCAGGCUUCAGGAAUGCCAGGGGCUCAUAAAAUCUUUUUCACUGAACAUUAUGCUGAGCAGGAUUCAUUUUACCAGUGAAAAAAUAUUUCUGACAUCCUUUGUGCUUUUUAACAAAGCCUGUGGUGUGGAUUUGCAUGAUUCUUAGAUUGCUGAGUAACCACUUCGGGAGGGUUCUUGAUUAGGGCACUAAAAAUGUUAACACAACACCCGUGGGAUGUAGAUUAAGGUCAACUUGUCCUUGUGCGUCUCUCCUAGUGUUGAUGGCAGAGUCUUAGUAUUUCAGCUGACGAAAUCUCUGCCCAUUCUCUUCCAAUGUUCCCUAAUAAGCUACAGGAGGACAGAGACAAAAGUUUGACUUCAUUAGUAACUUUUGGAAGUUGCCCAAUUUAGGAAAAAGAGUUAAUAAAUCAGGAAUUUUAUAAGAACUUUUUGUUAAAUCUGUAGUUAUUCAAAUCAGCCUCAGCAUGAUAAGACAACACUACAGGUUAUUAUAAAUAGUUGAAAAAGAAAAAUUAAAUUCCAACCAAACAAUUGAUCCUUAACUUUUUUUUUUUUUGAGACGGAGUUUUGCUCUUGUUGUCCAGGCUGGGGUGCAGUGGCACAGUCUUGGCUCACUGCAACCUCCACCUCCCAGGUUCAAGCAAUUUUCAUGCCUCAGCCUCCUGAGUAGCUGGGAUUACAAGUGCCCGCCACCAAAUCUGGCUAAUUUUUGUAUUUUUAGUAGAGACGGGAUUUCACCAUGUUGACCACGCUGGUCUCGAACUACUGACCUUAGGUGAUCUGCCCACCUCGGCCUCCCAAUGUUCUGGGAUUACAGGCAUGAGCCACCACAUCUGACCGAUCCUUAACAUGUGAUAAAACAAAUGUUAUGUUGCUCAGCACAUAGUUCAGGUACCCAUUUUGAAAUUCACUCUUCAUCACACAGUGCCCCUUCUUCUCCUCUCCUGUGGAGACUGAGUUCUCAUCUCCCUGUCUUAGAUAGCAUGAGACCCCUUUCUCUACUGUGGCCUUAGUGAACCCAGGAAGGGAUCCUAUACUGCACAUGAGUGUGGGAAAGAGAGACUGUGGCUUGACGUCUUAGGGAACUUUUUUUUUCCAAAGGCUGGCAGAGACUCUUUCUUUCCUAUAGUAUAGUUCUUUAAACAUCACACUCUUUUACAAUCCUAACUAACUUUGUGAUCGUGUCUUCCAUAAAUACCCCAGAAUCCCAGUCAGAAUAUGCACUGUAGGAAGGGACUAGUCUGGGACUCAAAUGAUUAGAUGAGUUCAGGGAAUAUGUCUAAUGAUGGAUUUUGAGCUGGGUUUUUGAGUGUCGUUUUCAGUAUCUUCAUCAUGUCCAUAGCUAUCAUAGGCUAAGAAUAAAACCAGACUGGUUUUCCCUAGUCAGCAUUCUCUUUGUCUGAUCUUCAGAGGUAAAGUCCAGAUGCUGUAAGCCUUGACUGGUGCGGUGGUGUAGGGCUAGCAGCACGCUACAAAAAACGAGGGCCACGCAGUCCUGGGGAGGAAGACUCUACAAGUGCAAUGUGGGGAAGGAGACUCUACAAGUGCAAUGUGCCCGAGGCGGGCGGAUAACUUGAGGUCAGGAGUUUGAGACCAGCCUGGCCUACAUGGUGAAACCCAGUCUCUACUAAAAAUACAAAAAAAAAAAAAAUAUUAGGCAUUGUGGCACACACCUCUAAUCUCAGCUACUUGGGAGACUGAGGCAGGAGAAUCACUUGAACCCGGG